rnacentral:hammerhead_ribozyme from 1 species
GUACUGCUGAAGAGUCCCAAACUAGGUUAACGAAACAGUUGUCCAGUAC